rnacentral:rRNA from 1 species
CGAGCGGUAACAUUUCUAGCUUGCUAGAAGAUGACGAGCGGCGGACGGGUGAGUAAUGCUUGGGAACAUGCCAUUAGGAGGGGGACAACAGUUGGAAACGACUGCUAAUACCGCAUAAUCUCUUCGGAGCAAAGAUGGGGCUCUUCGGACCUAUCGCCUAAUGAUUGGCCCAAGUGGGAUUAGCUAGUUGGUGAGGUAAAGGCUCACCAAGGCGACGAUCCCUAGCUGGUCUGAGAGGAUGAUCAGCCACACUGGAACUGAGACACGGUCCAGACUCCUACGGGAGGCAGCAGUGGGGAAUAUUGCACAAUGGGCGCAAGCCUGAUGCAGCCAUGCCGCGUGUGUGAAGAAGGCCUUCGGGUUGUAAAGCACUUUCAGUAAGGAGGAAAGGUUAGUCGCUAAUAUCGGCUAGCUGUGACGUUACUUACAGAAGAAGCACCGGCUAACUCCGUGCCAGCAGCCGCGGUAAUACGGAGGGUGCGAGCGUUAAUCGGAAUUACUGGGCGUAAAGCGUACGCAGGCGGUUUGUUAAGCUAGAUGUGAAAGCCCCGGGCUCAACCUGGGAACUGCAUUUAGAACUGGCAGACUAGAGUGUGAUAGAGGGUGGUAG